rnacentral:lncRNA from 1 species
AUAUAUUGCUAGUUAUAUUAAAGCUAAACAUGGUAGAAACAUCAGAGAUGAUGAGAAUUUUGGAAGAUAUACUAGCAAGGAGGAAAUACAUAUAAUUACUUAUCAAAUCCAGAUUCAUCAUAAUUUCUCAUCCAUAAUUUAAUUGAGCCAUGCAUGUUUUUCAAACUUAAUCAUUGCAGUGGAUAACCUCAGCAAAAGGCACUAUUAAAGUGCUCCACAUCUAGUAGUCACACCCUCCAUGAGUGCUUAUUUUUUCACAUAUAAAGUGGACUUUAUAUGAGUUAUGUUGGGUAAAUCCUCAUCGCCCAACCGAUUAACCCGCUUCUCCGUCUCUCAACC